rnacentral:rRNA from 1 species
UUGGAGGGCAAGUCUGGUGCCAGCAGCCGCGGUAAUUCCAGCUCCAAUAGCGUAUAUUAAAGUUGUUGCAGUUAAAAAGCUCGUAGUUGAAUUUCGGGGUUCUACCGUUGGUCGGGCUAUUGUCUGUACUGGCGUGUAGAAUUUCUACCUUCUGGGGAACUAUCAUGUUAUUAAUUUAGCGUGGUAGGAAACCAGGACCUUUACCUUGAAAAAAUUAGAGUGUUCAAAGCAGGCUUAUGUCUGAAUACAUUAGCAUGGAAUAAUAAAAUAGGACGGUGGUCCUGUUUUGUUGGUUUCUGAAUCACCGUAAUGAUUAAUAGGGAUAGUUGGGGGCAUUAGUAUUCAAUUGUCAGAGGUGAAAUUCUUGGAUUUAUUGAAAACUAACUACUGCGAAAGCAUUUGCCAAGGAUGUUUUCAUUAAUCAAGAACGAAAGUUAGGGGAUCGAAGACGAUCAGAUACCGUCGUAGUCUUAACCAUAAACUAUGCCGACUAGGGAUCGGACGAUGUUAACUUUUCUUGACUCGUUCGGCGCCUUACGGGAAA